UUCUGCUUCUCUUUCUCUCCCAUCUCUCCACGUACUUCCUCAUCAGAGCGGGGUCCACAUGGGCAUCCACAAUGACAUCUCCUUUUGAAAGGGAUCCUGGGCAGCUUUGGCAUUAUCAUGCACACUCCAUCGACAAUCAGCAUCCCAGGAUUCUACCAGCCCUAUCCUAUUACCUCAAGAUGGCCCAGGCUUGCUAUCUUGCCAACCAACAUGGUGGUGGCUCAUGACCAUCUGUAAUUCUAGGGGAGUUUGAGACUGUUCCAGAGGGUCU